rnacentral:tRNA from 1 species
UCCCUGGUGGUCCAAUGGUUAAGACUCCAUGCUUCCUGUGCAGGGGCACAGGUUCAAUUCCUGACUGGGGAA